rnacentral:ncRNA from 1 species
GAACUCGAAUGGGCUGCCGCUUGUAAAGCUCUUUCGUCGAGUGCGCGAUCAUGACAGGACUUGAGGAAGAAGCCCCGGCUAACUCCAUGCCAGCAGCCGCGGUAAGACGGGGGGGGG